UACACGGAAAUGUAUUUAUUAUUAUUUUUGUAGUAGGUUUUAUUUUUGUAAUGGGAAAAGGGUAAAGUCCACGUGAAUUGAUUAACCAUUUCCACAGUUUAUUUCUGGUGUUUAUUGGCUAUCCACCUAUUUAAUUUUUUUUUGUAUCGGGGUUUAUCGGUUAAAACCGAAAAUCAGAAGCAAAUGGAAGUCAUAUUCCUCAUAGAUACCUUUAAAAUGUUUUUUAAACAUUUCUGAAAGGUUAAUGAACCACGGCAAAAUAUCUCAUUUGUAGGUUUAAAACAAAAACAGCUAUGGAUACAAUCGUUCAUUUUUUUCCUUUGCUUUAAAUGAACUACAAAGUGGCAAGAUGGCUUGAAGAAUGGAAAAGGAGUGGGAACAUGUGUAGUGUUUGGAAUGGAGAGAACAGAGGGAAGUGAAACAAGCCUGUACAUGGACUUUCCUGACUGUUUAGAGACACCUCGUGUGGCAUGCCAGGAUCCGCGCAUGAUGCUGCGGCAUUCCGCUCUUCAGGAUUGAAUAUGUGUCAACACGCACUUCCGCAGGCAAUACAGCAUAUAGGGGAUCAGGGUGUUGCAUACCCCAACUUCCCUGACUUAUGAAACCCUAUCCGUCCAGACAUCUGACAGCUGCGGAGGAAGCAUUCAACACCAUGCUUGGGCGAGUACGGGUAGUGGUUGAACAGGCUUUUGGGCACUUGAAAGGGCUGUGGCGGGUACUGCUGAAAUGGUCUGAAGUGCAACAUGAGUGUGUUCCUAAAAUUGCCACUGCCUGCUGUAUCCUGCACAAUCUGUGUCAAGAACAAAACGAAGUGUUCAGGAAUCAGUGGCUGCAGUCUGUGAGACAAACAGGGAGAAGGUUACCUCAGCUGCCAGUUUCAACUGGACACCAGCAAUCUGAGGAGGCUUGUGCUGUCAGAGACUCUCUCCUUUCUUUUAAGUUUGAGUAAUUACCAUUGUGUUAAAUAUUAAUGAUGUAAACAAAUAAAACACAAUCAAUACAUUCAUUUAAAA